UGCCAGCCGCCGCGGUAAUACGGAGGGUGCAAGCGUUAUCCGGAAUCACUGGGUUUAAAGGGUGCGUAGGCGGCGUUAUAAGUCAGAGGUGAAAUCCCACAGCUUAACUGUGGAACUGCCUUUGAUACUGCAAUGCUUGAAUCAGGUUGAGGUCGGCGGAAUGUGUUGUGUAGCGGUGAAAUGCAUAGAUAUGACAUAGAACACCAAUUGCGAAGGCAGCUGGCUAGACCUGUAUUGACGCUGAGGCACGAAAGCGUGGGGAGCGAACAGGAUUAGAUA
rnacentral:rRNA from 1 species